rnacentral:lncRNA from 1 species
GAACAAUGUAAUUUCUUCAUCUGGAAUUAUGUAAUUUCUUCAUCUGGAACAAUGUAAUUUCUUCAUCUGGACCAACGUAAUUUCUUUGAUCUAGAAACAGCUAGUGAGUCAGGGUUAGCGGAAACGGAAAGGAUUGAUAUCUCAGAUGGAGAAUGGAUCCUGUUCCCACCAUUAGCCUAUCAGUUUUGUCGCUUCUCAUUCUAAAAUAUUCAUGAUUUAUAAAAAUAUUUGGGGGCAGUUUCUGAAGUAAACUGUAUCCUCUUCAAUGACACACUUGGACAUGUGAAAAACAGGCUUGUCUGGACGGCAGCAUAGCAGCAGUACCACACACACCAAGGCCUGGCCCACUCUGAAAAUGCUAAGCUGCCCUGUUGCCAUGGUAAUGAUGAUGGACACCUUGCCUUCCAUUUAAACUGUCACUCUGUGAGCUGAGAGCAGUUAUACCGUUACCACAGUGCUGAUGACGGUCCCUGGAGAUGGGAAACUGCUGUACAGAUUCUACCAAGGUCCUCAUGGAAGUUGUUCCCUUUGACACUGCAGAGGAUGAGAAACAAUCUAUCGCCAAGGUGGAGUCCCCAGCAAAUGGAAACUUUCCCUGCAACGUCUUGGUGGACUCGCUGCCUCCAGACAGAACAGAAGAGGACGACCCACUGAACGCCCUGGUGGACGCCAGAGGAACUAAAGACGGUCACAGCAUCACUGUCGUUGCCCUCGUUCACACGGACGCCAGUUUUCCAGAUUCUGAGGAUCAGACCCAGGGAGCAGCAACUGGUUCCAACACUAACACCAGUGCAGACUUGGACCUGGGGUCCAGCAGCUCAGAGGACCUGGAGCUGCCAGAGGGAUGGGGAAGGGCAGCCCUGCCCUGUGCCUCCCCUCCAUAGUCAUGGUUCACUACCUGUGUGUUAAAGAAUAGUUUUGCAAACAAGCUCUGCUGUUCGUGUUAGAUGCUUUACUUCGUAUAUGUUAAAUACUAUUUCAUGACAUGUAAUUACUGUUGGUUGUUUUAUAUUAAAUAAUAGUCUCCUGCUACCAGGUUCUUUGAAACUUCUUUCUGUAAAAUAUAUCAUAGCAAAAAAAAAAAAAUGCUCUAAACACAAGUAGAACUUCAUGGACUUUAAAGCAGUCACUUCAGUGACCCGUCAC